rnacentral:rRNA from 1 species
AUGUGGACCUGUCUUCGUCAGCGCUAUGAGCCCUCUGGUGAUGCCUUAUACCUUUCUGUGGUUCGUCAGGAGCAUGCUCUUCAGCAGGGUGACUCUAUUGUUGAUGACUUUUAUGCACAGAGUUCUGCCAUCUGGCGCCAGCUUGAUUCUCUCCGCAGUGCUGGUUGUCGUACUUGCCCCUGCUGCUAGGCUGUCCAGGCCGAUUUGGAGUUUCAUCGCGUCUACGAGUUCCUGUCUCGGCCCCGUAAGGAGUUUGAGCCCCGGCGUGCUCAGUUGCUUGCUCGUGGCCGUAUUUCUCUCAUGGAGGCGCUUUCAGAGAUUCGUGCUGAGGAGACUCGCCUACGUGGUGCUGGUUUGCUGGAGGUUCCCUCUGUGCUCGCUACUCGGGUUUCUUCCACUCCACCUGCUGCACCGCCCCAUUCUCGCUCGAGUGCUCCGCCGCUCUUGCCCACUCCUUCUGGAGACUCAGGUCGCCCCCGUUCACAUUGUGACUACUGCAACAAUGAUGGUCAUAUUGAGUCCCAGUGCUACACCAAGCGGAAACACCUGCGCAAGGCGCGAUCAUCAGGGACU